rnacentral:rRNA from 1 species
UUUCCAGACUCCUACGGGGGCAGCAGUGAGGAAUAUUGGUCAAUGGACGAGAGUCUGAACCAGCCAAGUAGCGUGAAGGAUGACUGCCCUAUGGGUUGUAAACUUCUUUUAUAUGGGAAUAAAAUGUUCCACGUGUGGGAUUUUGUAUGUACCAUAUGAAUAAGGAUCGGCUAACUCCGUGCCAGCAGCCGCGGUAAUACGGAGGAUCCGAGCGUUAUCCGGAUUUAUUGGGUUUAAAGGGUGCGUAGGCUGUGAGGUAAGUCAGCGGUGAAAUGCCCCCGCUCAACGGGGUGAAGUGCCAUUGAUACUGCCUUGCUGGAAUGCGGAUGCCGUGGGAGGAAUGUGUGGUGUAGCGGUGAAAUGCAUAGAUAUCACACAGAACACCGAUUGCGAAGGCAUCUCACGAAUCCGCGAUUGACGCUGAUGCACGAAAGCGUGGGUAUCAAACAGGAUUAGAUACCCUUGUA